GCGCUCUUAGUUCAGUUCGGUAGAACGCG
rnacentral:tRNA from 1 species